UACGUUCAUAUCCCAUUGAAACACCGGUUCUCGUAUGAUCACCGAAGUUAAGCCACGUCAGUACCUAGACGGGUGACUGCUUGAGAAUAUCAGGUGCUGUAAG